rnacentral:rRNA from 1 species
GCCUACGGGGCGCAGCAGUAGGGAAUCUUCCACAAUGGACGAAAGUCUGAUGGAGCAACGCCGCGUGGGUGAAGAAGGGUUUCGGCUCGUAAAGCUCGGUUGGGAGUGAAGAAAGAUAGAGGUAGGAACUGGCCUUUAUUUGACGGGAAUUACUUAGAAAGUCACGGCUAACUACGUGCCAGCAGCCGCGGUAAUAAGUAGGUGGCAAGCGUUGUCCGGAUUUAUUGGGCGUAAAGCGA